CAAACUCUUAGGUCAGUCCAGUGCUUUUACUGUAUUCCGCUCCAGCGGCGUGGGGAGUUACAAGCCAUUGUUCGGGGGAAUCUGUAUCUCUCCCCCCGCCCCCCCACCACCAUCGCCUGCUGGGAGGUCGCGCUGGUUAAUGAUUUCUGGGCAAGGAGCUCGGCUUCUGACGGGGGAGCCGGUCUGGCGGGGCUGCCUGAGCGAGGUGUGCUGGGACGCGCCGGGCCGGGCCAGCAGUCCCCGCCAUGGGCGAGGCGUGAGGAAGUCCUCCCGCAAGACCUGCAGGCUGCGGGGGCUCGGCAGGGGGGCUCGACGAUUGGUUACAGUUGGCAGGGAGGCAUGUCAGAGGGGGCCUCCCCAGCCCUCUCCUGCGGCCGCCUCCUCCCUUUGUCCAGCGCCGGGGACUCCGGGGAGCACCAGCCGCGCCUGCGCGCUGCGCUCCCUGCCACCGCCCCGCCGUCCCCGUCUCCCCGCUUGGGCACGGGGCUGUGCGCGACGCAGUGGACGGGUGCGGGGCUCAGCGAGGGACUCCCGGUUCCAUAGAGAUCUGGGGAGGGUGGAGGCAGCCUGCCGGGACCCCCCUGGCUCCUCGCUCCCAAGGAGUCGAGGGGAACGUCUCUACCGCGCUGCAAAGCCAGCAGUUUCAGCCGGGGGAGGCCUGCGCUGGAGUUGACUCCC
rnacentral:lncRNA from 1 species